rnacentral:ncRNA from 1 species
UAUUCAUUUGUGUGACUUGAAAUUUGGUUUAGUCACAAUUCAGUAUCUUCUUUGGUAAACGUUGUGUCGGGCGGUAAGAUACGUUCAGUCUUCUUCAUUUGUUCACAGCGUAGUCUUACUGUCGAAGUUUUGCUAAGCUGUUGGAGUUCUAUUGUCUGUUUUCCAAAAUAAACCGUGGAAACGUGGCCUAUCGAUCUGUUAACUCUAAAAAUUUUAAACAAGAGGUGUCAGAAAAUUUACCACAGGGAUAACUGGCUUUUGGCGGCCAAGCGUUCGUAGCGACGUCGCUUUUUGAUCCUUCGAUGUCGGCUCUUUCUAUCAUUGCGAUGCAACUGUCGCUCGCUAAUAGGGAACGUGAGCUGGGUUUAGACCGUCGUGAAACAAAUUAGUUUUAUCCUAUUGAUGACUGGUUGUUGCAAUGGUAAUCCUGCUAAGUACGAGAGGAACCGCAGGUUCGGACAUUUGGCACACGUGCUUGGUCGAGCGGCCAAUGGUGCGAAGCUACCAUCCGUGGGACUAUGACUGAACACCUCUAUAUCAGCAUCCCGUCCAGUUCUGCAACGAUACCUUGGCGCCUCCUUGUUGUUCGGCAAAAACACGCUUAGCUUCACCGCAGAGCCGUGCUAUGCCACACUGAUGGAGCCUUGCGCCGAACUAGCGAUGUAACUACGCUAGCUCGGCCGGCUUCUGGUCACACACCAGAUAAACGUGAAGGGAGAAAUCGUCGGUAGACGACCUAAGUACCGGUCGGGGUAUCUGUUGAGACUCAUCCUUUGACCGGAAGAUUU